GACGAACGCUGGCGGCGUGCUUAACACAUGCAAGUCGAGCGAUGAAGUUCCUUCGGGAACGGAUUAGCGGCGGACGGGUGAGUAACACGUGGGUAACCUGCCUCAUAGAGGGGAAUAGCCUCCCGAAAGGAAGAUUAAUACCGCAUAAGAUUGUAGUAUCGCAUGAUACAGCAAUUAAAGGAGUAAUCCGCUAUGAGAUGGACCCGCGUCGCAUUAGCUAGUUGGUGAGGUAACGGCCCACCAAGGCGACGAUGCGUAGCCGACCUGAGAGGGUGAUCGGCCACAUUGGGACUGAGACACGGCCCAGACUCCUACGGGAGGCAGCAGUGGGGAAUAUUGCACAAUGGGGGAAACCCUGAUGCAGCAACGCCGCGUGAGUGAUGACGGUCUUCGGAUUGUAAAGCUCUGUCUUCAGGGACGAUAAUGACGGUACCUGAGGAGGAAGCCACGGCUAACUACGUGCCAGCCGCCGCUGUAAGAC
rnacentral:rRNA from 1 species